rnacentral:rRNA from 1 species
GACGAACGCUGGCGGCGUGCUUAACACAUGCAAGUCGAACGAUGAAGCCUAGCUUGCUAGGUGGAUUAGUGGCGAACGGGUGAGUAAUACGUGAGUAACCUACCUUUAACUCUGGGAUAAGCCCGGGAAACUGGGUCUAAUACCGGAUACGACCAAUCUCCGCAUGGGGUGUUGGUGGAAAGCGUUAUGUAGUGGUUAUAGAUGGGCUCACGGCCUAUCAGCUUGUUGGUGAGGUAACGGCUCUCCAAGGCGACGACGGGUAGCCGGCCUGAGAGGGUGACCGGCCACACUGGGACUGAGACACGGCCCAGACUCCUACGGGAGGCAGCAGUGGGGAAUAUUGCACAAUGGGCGCAAGCCUGAUGCAGCGACGCCGCGUGAGGGAUGACGGCCUUCGGGUUGUAAACCUCUGUUAGCAGGGAAGAAGAGAGAUUGACGGUACCUGCAGAGAAAGCGCCGGCUAACUACGUG